CUGAAAUCGAACGAGACAGUGCGGUAUCCGUGAA
rnacentral:sRNA from 1 species